GGAAGGUUUACCGUUUUAUCUGUGGAUUAAUUGUCGGAGUAGUGGACCUUGUGCAGUUCAGACUGAUAAAACUGACGAUGGUGAUGAGAAACUGGUACGGGAAGUUGAACAUUUAAUGCGGAACAGACAGAUGGAGAGGUAAGACUACUAGAAAGCAGCAUGUUGCCAGACCACCAAAGGACCCUGGAGGCCACUGCAUGCUGUGACAAGGGCCUGGAUGGUGAAACACACGAGCUUCAAGCUGCCUGCCUGAAUACUGAGGCCUUCAGUGGUACCUUCCCUUUGAUUACAGCAAGAGUCUCCUUACUUCUUUUUCGACAUUUAACAUAUACUUUAUGUAACCACUCAAGAGCGUCCCAAAAAUGCACCAUGGGUGAACUGUCUGGUAAGUAUGAAGGCCAUUGAAGAACUGGGACAUUUUCAACUUCCAGGAAUUGUAUAAAGAUCCUUGUGACAUGUGGCUGUGCAUUAUCAUGAUGAAACAUGAGGUGAUGGUGGAGCAUGAAUGGCACGACAAUGGGCCUCAGGAUCGUUUCAUGGUAUCUCUUUGCAUUCAAAUUGCCAUCGAUAAAAUGCAAUCGUAUUCAUUGUCCAUAAUUAAUGCCUGCCCUUACCAUAACCCCACACCACCACAGGGCACUCUGUUCACAACAUGGACAUAAGCAAACCACUUGCCCACACAACACCAUUCUCUGCAGUUGUGAGGAUGGUUGGACAUAUUUAUUAGACACUUUAUUACAGACAGAAAUACUCCUCAGUUUCAUCUGCUGUCCGGGUGGCUGGUCUCAGAUGCUGGUCCUGGGCUGGCAUGGUUAUAUGUGGUCUGCGGUUGUGAGAUGUACUGCCAAAUUCUCAAAACAACGUUGGAGGCGGCUUAUGGUAGAUAAAUUAACAUUAAAUUCUGUGGCAACAACUGUUACAUCUGCUCCUGCCGCGCCCUAUACUUCUCCUCCAGUGUCUCCCUAACAUGCCGCCACUCCCCCAGUGCUCUCUCCCUCUUCCUCUCUGUGUUUGUGAUUGUGUGGGCGGAGACAGGUGUGCUGGAGGUAGAGCAGAUCCCCACCAGCUACAAGAAUGCUACAAAUACUCAUCCCUGCCAGAUCGUAACCUCUGCUCAUUCUGCCCGCUCUGCAACCAGCCCAAGCUUCCCCUGGCCUGUACCCCAUCUUCCCCCUGUGUUUCAAUAAAUACCUUGG